rnacentral:rRNA from 1 species
UACGUAGGGGGCAAGCGUUGUCCGGAUUUAUUGGGCGUAAAGAGCGUGUAGGCGGCCAGACAGGUCAGCUGUGAAAACUCGAGGCUCAACCUCGGGCCUGCAGUGGGUACGGGCAGACUAGAGUGCGGUAGGGGAGAUUGGAAUUCCUGGUGUAGCGGUGGAAUGCGCAGAUAUCAGGAGGAACACCAAUGGCGAAGGCAGAUCUCUGGGCCGUAACUGACGCUGAGGAGCGAAAGCAUGGGGAGCGAACAGG